UAAUUGAUGUUUAGAGAGAAAACUACUUCAUAGCCCAUAUAUGUAUUGAAAGUGAAAAGUGAAAGUGAAAUUGCUCAGUCGUGUCCGACUCUUUGCAACCCCAUGGACUGUAGCCUACCAGGCUCCUCAGUCCAUGGAAUUUUCCAGGCAAGAGUACUGGAAUGGGUUGCCAUUUCCUUCUCCAGGGGAUCUUCCCAACCCAGGGAUCAACCUGGGUCUCCCGCACUGCAGGCAGAUGCUUUACCGUCUAAGCCACCAAGGAAGCUAAAUCUAUAUUCAAAGGUCACAGAAUGUUAAUCUUCAUCAGUGGAACAGAUACUUGUUUAGGUGAGUUGGAUCCAGAUUAAGGUAGGUAGCCUCCUUAGGAUAUGUUAUACGCGGCAUGGAAUUCUCAUAUCAUCAUUUGGGAACUGAUACUUUCUUGUUCCUACAGCUUUUACUCAGAGCACAUGUUGCUGCUAAGGAACCAAAACCUCAAUAG
rnacentral:tRNA from 1 species